rnacentral:tRNA from 1 species
AGGGGCUUAGGAUAGUACUUAGACCUAGGGCCUUCAAAGCCCUCAGCGAGAGUGAAAAUCUCUCAGCCCCUG